GUUCCGUCUGCCUCCGUCGGGUGCCGUGGGGCCACAUGGGGCCCUGGAGGCCCAAGGCAGAGGCCGUCCGGGGGCACUGGUGGCUGCAGGCCGAGUGCUGGCUCUGCUCCCGGCUGCAGGGGCGAGGCACCUCCUAGCCCGCGACAGUGUGGUACACGAAUGCAGAUGCUACUGGGUUAUAAAGCAGCCACUGGGGCAGAGCUCAGGCGACACCGUCCUUUUCCUAAAGAGGGAAGAGCCAAAGGUCUAAGUCCCUGAGCAGGCAGGUUGGAGACUCGGGAGGGGCUCUGCUUACAGGCCACCAGCCAAAGGGGACAGCCCGGUGCCCUUGGUCCACAGCCGGCCGGGCCACUGGUGACAGCCCCGUGUUGGUGCCACUUGGUCCGGUGAUGUUCUUCACAGGCCCGCACCGCGUGUCCGGUGCUCAGGCUGGACGGGCAGAGAGCCCCAGGCAUCCUGCCCUGGUGCAGUCCCCAGGCUCGGGGUCGGAGCAUGCUGGUGGGGGCGGGGACCCCCUGAGGACCACGUCGUCAGUACGGGUGACGGCCAACGUGGCCUGUUAAUGUGCGUCUCCAGGAGGACGAGGACUAGGCCCGCGCCAUCCUCCACCACCUGGUGCUGCCGUUGGCUCCCUUCAGAUGGGGACGUGGCCAUCGAGGGGGCACGGCAGCCCUUAGGGCCGCCCGUGAGGACACAGUGGAGGCCUGUGUGUGCUCGGAGAGCGGGGACCGGGUGUGGACGGGGCAAGGUGCAGAAUGGCUGCCCCGGAGGAGUCGAUGCUUGAGCCGUGGGCAGGAGAUGGGGACUGACGAUGGACAGAUGAGGCGAUGGAGCCGGAGGACGGGCGAGCUGAGCCACGGCUCGAGGGGCUGGGAGGUGGCAGGUGUGGGGUGCACAGGCGGGGGCUCCUGCCUCGUCCCAAGAGCCGCGGGAGGCCAGCGAGGUGCGCCGUGGAGGGACCCGAGUGGCCCCGAGGAGCCCUGUGUGGGGCUGUCGUCGUGGGGGGCGGCCAAGGGCGAGGAGGCGGGGAGCGGCCGUGUCCAGCGCUGUUGGCAGUGAGAUCCGCUUGGCUCAAGCGGACUUGCGACGGGGACAAGGGUCGGGGCAGGGGCCAGAGACCCAGAGAUCGUGGCCCACAGAGCUGGCCACCAGGGAGACCCUUCGCGCGGUGCAGACACUGGCAUGUUCGGGUCCUGGGCAGGGCCACGGAGGCGGAAGUGACCCUUACCAGCUCUCUCGGAGGUCAAACGCCAGAACCUUGAAGGAGUGGAUGGUACGACGAGUACCUGCUCACGGCCAUCUUCGUCACGAGUGGUCGGUGCUUUGCCGUAUCUGCUUGCCCGUCCUCUCCACUCGCGCACGUUCGCACACGGAUGCGCACUCGGACUCACGUGCACACACACAUGUCCGCCACGCACGUGUCUGCUGUGCAAUUGCAGGCAUCACCACACCUCAUCCUAAACGUUUGUACCCCUUAAACAUGAAGACAGUCUCCCCAGUGAGCAAGGUCGCGUUUUCACUCCUCAGAACCUCACCGUCCUGGAACAGGCGCGGUUAUCCCGUGACACCGUUUGAUGAGUGAUCCUGGUCAGGCUCCCCCUUGCCCCAGGUUUCUGUGUUCAGUCGAAGUCCUUGCUCUUGGUCGUGGGGUCUGCUCUUUGGUCUCCUUCCACGUAGAGCAGCCCCGUCCCCACCGCAACCCGUUUCUUCCUGUGGCCCGGCUCUUGGGCAGCUUCUCGCAGGACGUCGUGGACUCUGGCUUGUCUGACGGUUGCGGUUCUGCUGCUGCUGCUGCUUCUGCUCUGUUGGGAUGUGACGCCCGUAACCUAGCUCGCCCGUGUGAGUGAACAGUUCAGUGGCCUUUAGUCUCUUCCCAGAUGCGUGUGGCCAUCACCGUAGUUGCUUCUAUUACAUCGUCAUCACCUCGAAAAGAACCCGAGUAGCUGUUUCCCAGCUCAGUCCCUCUCCGCAGCUCGACGCGGCCGCUCAUCCACCUUCCGUCUCUGGGUUUUCCCGGUCUGGCUUUUCAUAGAAGGGACUCGUGUGCUUUGCUGCCUUUGGUACGUGGCUUCCUUCUCUUAGCGUCACGUUUUCAAAGUUUGUUCACGUGGCCGCGUUUCUUUUCACGACUGAAGGGUACUCCACGGUGUGGACGCGCCACAUUUGUUUAUCCACUCGUCCACCGGGGGUCAUCGGGGCCGUCUCCCCUCUGGUUAGUACGAAUGUGCUGCUCUGCACAUUUGGGUGCAGGUGCUCGUGGGGACCCGGGUUUUCAUCUCUCUUGGGUAGACACCUGGGAGCUGAAUUGCUGGGUGACUUUGUUUAAUUGUCGGGCUGCCGCUCAGAGCCGCGGAAACAUCUUCCAGUCCUGUGGGCAGCACGUGAGGCUGAGCUCUCCGCGGCCCGUGCUCGUCGUCAUCUGUCCGAGGCCGUUUUCCUCGGUGUCCCGCAGUGGAGGCUUCUCUCUCUGCCCGGCCUCCCGAGUCGCAGCCUCACCCCAGCAGACCUCCCAGACCCAGACGGCGAAGGAUGCAAAUGGCACAUAGGACCAGACCGGACGGCACUGUUUUCUUAUUUGGGGGUGCCAGCUCCUGCACUUUCCUACCGGGUUUCCUAGCACCUGAGGAUCCCCAGGAAGCAGCCAGGCCAGAGCUGCCUCCAGCAGGUGAAGGUGGCUCCGGGGAGCUGGUGCCAGAGACCAGCCGGGGCUCCCGGGCCUGCCACCGAGUGCACAGGCUGCCGUCCUGCGAGCUGCAGCACGUGGCCCUGGGGAAGGUGGUGGGAAGGGGACUUUCCCCAGAGUGAGUGCCCCAUAGGAGUGGCCUCCGCGCUACACGACACCCAGGACUCUCCGCCCUUGGGUGCUUCUGUUCCCCGUCGCAGGAGCUGCUGAUGCUGUGGGAAACUGGGCUUCUCUGGAAGUGGCCAGGCCGGGGUGCAGCCCCACCCCCAGCCUGGAGGCUGGCUGGAGGAGGCCGGCCCAGCGCGGCCCUUGCCCCUUGCAGCCUCGGCCAGCCUGUCUACACUGCAGUCCCUCCUCCGGGACCAGAGCCCCCGUUGGAGCUAGGGGGCCUUCCUGGCUCUGCAGGCUGUGGAGUUGGCUCCGUGUGACCAGCUGUCAGCCUCAGGUUCGAGGCCUGGCCAAGUGUCGCCGCCUCUCCUUCUCUGCCCUCCUCUGAAGGUGUGGGUCGCGGUGCCUCUGUGCCUCCCUCACGCUGACCUGGCAUCCUACCGUGUGUGUGCAGAGUGACCAGGGCAGUGACUUCUGGUCCCAACAGACACAAGGGUUCUCCUCGAGGGCAGGGCCUGAGUCCUGCUCGCCUCUGCCAUCUUUAUUGAUUUGCUCAGAACGAUUUUGGUCACCAGCGCCAGAACCUGAGCUCAGACUGGCCUAAGGAUCCAGGGUGCAUGUUCCUGAAAGCCUAGGGGUGUCAGGUACGGCCAGGUCCAGGUCCCCUGUGUCAUGGCUGUGCCCACGUCUUGGUCCUGCUGUCAGCAGCCUCUUGGGUGGUGGCAGGGGCCCCGGGCUGGGGUCCAGGGGGCAGGUUUGGGUCACGUGCUCAGGGAGCAGCCGGCUAGGAUUGGUCAGGCCCAUGUCGUGGUUUCAUUGAGAUUGGGGUGUUGUCAUGGAUGGGGGGCAGGGGUGCUUCCCAAGGGAGAUGGGCACUGGGCAGGCCAAACCGCAGGAACCCUGAGAUGAUUCUCCCCGACUCCUUGCCCGCCCUCAGCGCCCCACUCGGGUCAGUAGCGUGUUUACCUCCCUCCUGGGUGCUUCUCGCACCUGCUCUGUGUUCUCAGCAGGAACUGACCCCUGCUUCUCUCCUUCCCACGGCCAACCGGGGUUCGUUCUGUCUGCCACAGCCAGGAGGGGUCUCUCCAACACCCAAGCAGAUCCCAUCCUAAUUCAACCCUGGUUGGUGCCCCCUUGCCCCUUGGAGGAAGUCCGUUCUCAGCAGGGUGUGUCCACCCUUGGUGACCUGGCCCUUCAGUCCUGUGGGGACUCUGAUGCAGGACUUGAUCCAAGGACCCUAGGAUCAUGACCUGAGCCGAAGGCAGAGGCUCAACCACCGGGUCACUUAGGCAUCCCCCACCCAUCUGUCUGAUGAUGUGUCCACUUUUCUAUCCAUCCAUCCAUCCAUGCAUCUAAAUUCUAGGUAUCCAUUUGUCCAUCUGUCCAUCCAUCUAUCCAUGCAUCCGUCCAUUUAUCUGUGUGUUCACCCAUCUGUCCAUCUCUCCAUUCACCUGUCCACCUAUCUUUUCACUCAUCCAUCCAUCCACCCACCCACCCACUGGGCAUGGACUGGCCCUAAAUGAAUGUGCUGGGUGGUGGGUGGAGGAAUAAGACAAUGCACCCACAGAUGUAAUGUUACCUGGGAACUACAUGCUCAAGUGUUGGCAGGAGGAAACACCAGGCACGGUGCCCGCAGUGGCGUGGAACCUCUCAACCCACCAGGCUGAUACAACAAAAUAUCCCCUUCUGCCUGCUGAUGGCUGCUGGCUGCCAGUCUGUGAAUCUGACCUGGAGCUUCCAGCAGGAAUCUUAGCUGAGGGGGCUGGGCAGGGCUGCCAAGAAGAGGAGGCGUUCGAAAGCCUGAAGGCUGAGCAGAGUCCGUGAGCCCAGGACUCACGGAAGGCACUUUGCAAGGAGAGGGAACAGCCUGAUGCCAUCCCGUGCCAGUGCGUGAUUUUCACGUGCUCUCAGCCUAGUGACUGUCCCCUUUCUUCUUCCCCCAUCUUUCAACUCAAGGGUGAGGGACGACAACUGCCCCUGCUCCUCUCCCCUCUGCCCAGCUGCCCCGCGGGACUGUGGGGCAGACACGUGCACAUGGAUUGAACUCCCGGGCAGGGACCUUCUCUAUUUGUUCUCUGCUGCGGCCCAGAACCUGGAGGAGGUGCUCAGGAAUCCUCGUCGGGUGGACAAAUGACAGGAGAGUGGGACAUACUGAAUGGAUGAACGAAAGCAUAUGCUGAACCCGUCUUGCCGUGGGAGGAAUGCGAGCCUGGCAGGCAGGCGAACCUACCCUUUCUCCCCAGCUCCCCCUCGCCCCGCAGGUGGACGUGGUUGAUGGUGGGGACGUUCCCUUCCACGGCUUCCUCUGGGCAUUUCUCUGUGUGUACGAGCGCGUGGGCGCGUGGCUGGGGCUGCACCCAAUCACGGUACGUGGCCCAGUCAUCUCGCGGGAUUGCAAGAAGAGUUGGGGCACCUGAGUGGCUCGACUGGACAAGCAUCCGACUCGAUUUCAGCUCAGGUGGUGGUGUCCGGGCUGUGAGCUGCAGCCCUCCGGUGGGCUCUGUGGGGAGUCUGCUGCUCUUCCUGUGCCCCUCCCCCGUAAAUAAACAGACAAAUCUUAAAAGAGGGUCUUAAAAAAGUACAAUUACACGGCAAGUAUCGCAUCUUAUUCUAUUUUAAACUUACUUACUUAUCCUGGAGCUUCCUCUUCACGGAAGCGCGUCUCCUCCUUUCUCCCUGCUGCUGCUCAGCCGCUCCUUCUUGCUGUCAGUUGAGGUAUUCUGAAAUGUUCGGCCGCAGAGACCUUCAGUGCGUGUUUCUGGAUCCAGCUUCUCAGGUCCCCACGUCGCUGCCCUCGGCGCCUCGAGGAGUGUCCGGCCACCGCACUGCAGGGAGCCUCUUUGCCCAUGGUGCAGGGACGGUCCUGCCGUGUGUCCCACCAGGAGCAGUGGCGGCUGGCACGGAGCCCCCACCAGGCCCCGGGAGCUGGGGUUAAGGACCCUGAGUCCAGUGACGCCCAGAGGCCCCCCUCCCACCACGGCACCUCCGCCAGCAGCCUGAGGAGCUUCUGACCCAAACCAGCCACGUCUCCCUCCCUAGAAGCUCCCCGGUUCUCAGGCAUUAGCCCGUCCCCGACGCCCGCGCAG